AGAAUGAAUAUCAUUUUAGAAUAUUUUUUGCAAAUUUAGUUCUAAAGUUGAUAAUUUGUUCAAUGAUUUGGAGUCCUACAUGUAUUUUUUUCAUCAAGCACAAAACAAUUUAAUUUUUUAAAUAAAAAAACUGUCAGUUGUAUAUAAUGAACUCCAAUUAACUAAUUUAUCAAAAACUCAAUGGAUAGCAAAAGCUGAAUCAUUAAAAACCGUAUGGCAUUCAAUUUAUGUUAUUGUAGAUGCUUUAAAAAAAAUCAGUUAUUGUCAGUUGUUGAUCUUUGAUUCAAAAAUAAAACACAGUGCAAAAGCAUUAUAUAAAAAAUAUUAAUAUUUGAUUUUAUAAUAUCCUUAAUGUUCACGAAAAAUAUAAUUUAAAAUUAAAAUUCUUAAUGAAAUUUGUAUAAUCAGAACAAUUGAAUAUAAUAGAUGUUACACUUUUAAUUUAUAUUAUAAAAUCAUUAUAAGAAAUAAAUAAUGACACUAUUGUUAUAAAUAAAUUAAUUCAAAGUGCAAUCUCAUUUGCAGAAAAUUUCUUGGUGUGUACAGAAGAUGAUUACAAUAAGCAUCACCAAAGAAGAAUAAGACCAAAGACAAUAAACAUGACCUGAAAACCAAAUUGAUUUUAAUUUAAGAUCAUAUUACUGAAAAGAAUUUAAGAUAAUUUUGGACAAUUUGAUAUAAUGGUGUGAAGAUUAUCUUAGUAUUUACAUUAGCAAAUUUAUAGCAUCUUAUAAUAUAUUUAAUUCACCUAUCAACUGAAGAUAAUAUUGAGAAAGCAUUCAAUCUUUUCCAGAAUAAUAAAGAUAAAAAAAUUUAUUUGGAAACUCUACAAAAGAACUAGAAGUUCUUUGUGAUAACUGUACAGAUCUUAAGACUUUAAAAGAAAUCAUUGAAAAAGCAAAAAGUUUGAAGGAUGUUUUUUUCCAUUGGCAAACAGUCUUUACAUAUUAUUGUUAAUUGCUCCAGUAAUAAUGGCUUCAAACAGACUUUCAGCAAGUUAAAAUUUGUGAAAUCAAAUAUUUGCUUAACUAUGACUGAUAAUAGACUAGAUACAUUAAUGAUCAUUAGUUGUGAAAAAAAUAUUUCUGGAGAAAUUGAUUUAAAAGCACUUGCAAAAAGUUGGUUCCUUCUAAAAAACAGAAGAAUAAAUAUCUAACUGCAUUGUAUCAUUCUGGUGAGAUUUAUCAGGCAUUUCUGUCACUUCCUGUUGAUAUUAAUUAUUGACAUUCUAUUCUAAUGAUCAAGCUAACUGAAUAUAUGUGGUUUCCCAAAUUCAAAUCAAUUUUAACUAAUAUUGUAUGUUAUAUUUUUAAAUUGUGUUUUCUUCAAUUACUCAGUUUCCAAAAUAAAUAAAUAUUUAAAAACUUUCAAUUGAUAAAAAUAAAUUAAUUUUAUUUAGUCAUAUGACCAGUCAGCAAAUUUUCAUUGUCACCCUCCACUAGCUAUUCAUUGUUAUUAAUUUGUUUUGAUUUUAUUUUCUUGUUUGAAGUAAAAUAGUUUAUUUAACACUGAAUUGUAAAUAUUAUUUAAUUAAAUAAAUUAACUUUAUUAUUCACUUUAUUGUAUUUGACAAUUUAUUUAGCAGUUAUAAGUUCAGUAACCUAUUUGAUUGUAUCAUCAAUUAGUUCUAAAACUUUCAUUAUUUUUUCUCAACUGUAUUGUUUCCAUUUGCUUGUUUUUUAUGAAUUAAUGAUAGAUUUAGAAUUUGGCAUCCAAAUUUAGGAAGACCUGGCCAAGCUAAACUCUGGACUAUUACUACAAGAUUUGAGGUUAGUGUUAAAUAUUGGGAUUGUAAAAAUAGGAAACUGUCCAAUUUAUCUGCAUUAUUAAAUUAAUUUUUUAAAUUUUUUUGGUAUAGAAAAAAUAAUGGUUGAUUAUUCUGCAGAAAAGGCUCAUUUGCAAUAAGACAGCAUUUUCAUUUGUUUUCUCUGCAAUCAAUAUCUAGAUUUUAAAAUUUCUUAUUUAACUGCCAACUUGCAUAUAUAAUUGUUUCAGUAUAACAAUUUUAUAUAUAUUUAAUUUUUAUUACUCAUAACUGUAACAAUAAUAUAAUUCAUUUAUUAUUUAAUAUUUUUAGCAC
rnacentral:lncRNA from 1 species